rnacentral:rRNA from 1 species
GACGAACGCUGGCGGCGUGCCUAAUACAUGCAAGUCGAACGAACCGCGACUAGGUGCUUGCACUUGGUCAAGGUGAGUGGCGAACGGGUGAGUAACACGUGGGUAACCUACCUCAUAGUGGGGGAUAACAGUCGGAAACGACUGCUAAUACCGCAUAGGACAUGGGAUCACAUGAUUCUGUGAGGAAAGGUGGCGCAAGCUAUCGCUAAGAGAUGGACCCGCGGUGCAUUAGCUAGUUGGUAGGGUAACGGCCUACCAAGGCAAUGAUGCAUAGCCGACCUGAGAGGGUGAUCGGCCACAUUGGGACUGAGACACGGCCCAAACUCCUACGGGAGGCAGCAGUAGGGAAUCUUCCGCAAUGGACGCAAGUCUGACGGAGCAACGCCGCGUGAGUGAAGAAGGUCUUCGGAUCGUAAAAGCUCUGUUGUUAGAGAAAGAAACAAGCGCAU